UACGAAGGGGGCUAGCGUUGCUCGGAAUCACUGGGCGUAAAGCGCACGUAGGCGGAUCUUUAAGUCAGGGGUGAAAUCCUGGAGCUCAACUCCAGAACUGCCUUUGAUACUGAGGAUCUCGAGUCCGGGAGAGGUGAGUGGAACUGCGAGUGUAGAGGUGAAAUUCGUAGAUAUUCGGAAGAACACCGGUGGCGAAGGCGGCUCACUGGCCCGGUACUGACGCUGAGGUGCGAAAGCGUGGGGAGCAAACAGG
rnacentral:rRNA from 1 species